CUUUGACUGACACCUCCCCCAAGCAGCUCGGGCGUGGGCUGGAGGGCUGCUUCACCCUGAGGAGAGGGUACCGCUGGCAGCUGGAGAGUCGAGGAUCCUGUCCCUCCCGCUUCCGGUAGACACCCCCCCCCCCCAACACACCGUCAAGAAAAGUUGUCUCGGUUGCCUGGCCUCAGGGAGUCCCUCUUCAGGUUUCCCUUAGUUACCUGGCGCCUCAGGCUCGACCGGAAGGAGCCGGCCGCGAGUGCGGAGGGGAGAGCACCAGAACCAGUUCAGCAGCAAAGAGGCGGAUGGAAGCCUCAGUCAAGCAGCCGACAGAGGACCACAGGGAGCACAGAUCUGUACUGCAGUAGCUGCACACUGCAAAGGACCAGAAGUCUAGGUGAUAUUGGGGGGUAAUGUGCCUGGGCUCAAAGGCAUUUUAGGCCUCUUGCCCAAACUGAUGCCACAUGUUGUUCCCUCCCUUUGGGAGACAGAAACACUCAGAGAAGGGAAACAGCCAAGGGA